AGAAUAAAAAGCCAAACCUACCGCGAGGUUGGGACGGAAAGCUUCAGAUCUCUCUAAUCAAUCAUGGACAGAUGGCUGAGCUACCUCG
rnacentral:ncRNA from 2 species